rnacentral:rRNA from 1 species
GUGUUUUGGCAAAAAGUCGCUUAACAUUUGUUCAAAACGCCCAGCCAUAAUAUGCCCAGACGAUGUGUACGAGAAUAGGUUCGAGGGCCGGGGUCGUGGCUUAUAAGACCGGUUCGGGCCGGCGCAGGAGCGUAUGGCGCCGUCGCCCGUCGCUCUGGGCAGGUUCGAGCGCAGGAGCUGGUGCCUGCCGCCGCUGCUUCUGGGGAAGGUUUAGGCGAAGGGCGUGCGCUAAGAACGUCCGGCAACCCUUGAAGUUGGGGUUGUAGGAGCCGAGGGGAGGGAGCUACUGCGGUUUCUUGCACAGAGUUCGUCGCGGGCCGCAGAGGGGGUAAUAGUCGAGAAGGGCUUUGGAGAGGGGUUCCAUGAGACAGAGAUUCCAAGCGAGGUUAAGUGGUAAAAUAAACUAACUCUGCUCUCGCCCCAGUCCACCGUGCGCCACCGACAAGCACCAACGCACGACGAAUACAUGACACGUUAAAAAAAUUAAAAAAAACUCUAUCAACGACGAGACACGAUCUUCCCUACUUGUCUCCUCUUUGUCCUGUCCCGACCCACAACAGACGCGUGUCUCUAUAACUCUAUUAACCAUGAGGGAGACAUUUGUUUAUAUUCUCGCAAAUCUAGUGAUAUAAAAUCACUAGAUUUGCGCGAAUAUAAAGAAAUGCCUCCCUCAUGAUAACAACAUCUUACAACACUACCUUUUAUUUUUUUAUAAGCUAGAGAACGUUUACUACAACCUAACUUACUAAAGAAAGUCAGUGUCCUCGGCAGGUUAUAGCACGAAGAAUAACCUUUUCUCAGGGACUAAAGUAUGUACGGUUGUUCUUUCUUCUGAUUGUCACCCAACAAUUCCACUCCCUAAAAAAUCGCACGUACGAAACAAGCAGGCCUAACCCACCACUCAAAACCCAUACUGUCACUCCUUACAAAAUCACACGUACGAAACAAGCAGGCCUAACCCACCACUCAAAACACAUACUGUCACUCCUUACAAAAUCACACGUACGAAACAAGCAGGCCUAACCCACCACUCAAAACACAUACUGUCACUCCUUACAAAAUCACACGUACGAAACAAGCAGGCCUAAAAUCGCCGGUGACACAGCAGGUCCAACCCCUCCUACUGCCUCAGCCGUACCGACUUCUCCCACUUCGCCGACAACCCCAAUUCACAACGCUCAUUAAAAUGUCCUCACUCGAACGAGUCUUUAGACGCUGGCAACUUUGUACUUUAUGUACGUUUCUACCCCUUAUUAGUUGUACUACGAGACCAGCUCUCUUCAUCUUUAAUUAAUUCGAAGUUCUCCGACUCUGCUGAGAACAUCAUGAUUCUCCUUUUUAAUCAAGACCUUUGUGGCUAUAGAGACAUGAUAGAUAGAUACAAGUCGUUUCUUUAAGUAAAAGAAGGAAAGAGUCAGGAGAUAAAAAAUCGUCUGGUUCUACGUGUUUUCACGCCGGAUAUUAUUUGACUUUAUCUUCGUCCAUUGAUGUGAGAUCUCCAUAUGUACUUGUUCUCUUUUCUCCUCUUGUUGCUAGUUACCUCUUUACGUGACGCGACAAUUGACGACGAUGAUAUUGUGACUUCAAAAUUAACGUCCUGUGGGUAUUUCUUUCUUUCUUCUGAACACGAUAGUCUUUGGUUAGCUUUUCCUCUUCCGUAUUUACGUCACCUACCUGAACUGUAAUUCGACGAAACAAUCUAUAUGGUCCUGCUUCCAAUUUUUAGUCUCCCGGAAUUGUAGUACGGUAUCAUAGAGUUCAGCGUGAUCUACUCUUAUAAAGUACUGCGUUUAUUGAACACAAUCGGUAAGAACAAAACAAAAUUAAAAUACGAAAUAAGAAGCUGAGCGAUCCUAUAUCAUGUUAAAAGUUAACACUCGGAUCGUAGAUCGUAGCUAAAACUGGAGACUUUAAAACAAAUCGACCGUCGUGGUCGACGAAAAUCACUUUUAGUGGGUCUAGAUUCCCAUAUAAACAGGAACGUAGUAACAUUAAAACUACAAAACGAGAUAAUUUAUUAAAUUAUAACGAACAAGGUAGAACUGGGAUAAUACAACACGGAUAUACACAAAGAAUACGCCAAUGCUGCCACUGUUACACGGAUUAAACGACAUUCUGUACGUCGCACUAGCCACCCCCAACUUUCACACCGCUACGGUUAGAGUCUCUGACUUGAACAAUCCAACCAUUCUUAAUAAAGUAUAAAGAGAUCGAAACUCUAACGCCGAAGUGAAGAUCAUAGUAUAGUUGAUAUUUACGUACACAACUAGUAUAUUAAUUACGCAUUUCUAUGGAGUGUUUUGUUAAUUACGCAUUUCUAUAGUAUGUAUUAUAAUUACACGUUAAUUAAAGGAGGGAUUAUAGUGUAUAUGCGUAAAUAACGUUAAUUAUAACAUAUAAAUAAUUACACAUAUAUAUUCUUCACAAACCGUUCCUUUUUUACACCGAAGAGACCAAGCUGGCCUAGGUUCUAAAACCUGAGGAGCUAAUUUUUCUUUCUUUCCAAAAUGUGAGAAGGCGCCGAGCGUUCGUGGACGAGCCGUAGGUGAACGGCCGGCCGGCGGGGGCAUAAAAGAACCAGCCCGGCCGCGCCACAGCAGAGGGGUCCUAGCGGGACGGCCGGCACUGUCCUCUUUCGUUGGCUUUUGGUUGUUCUCGCCCCCUGUCCUUCUAUAGCCUCCGUCGACGGGGUUGGGAUCCGAGAGUGUCAUUUUCACAUGGUUUACCUGGUACCCUCAAGGGGUUGCUUCUAUACAUUCAGACAACACCUACUUCUAUAGUAGUCGUUAGAUGGGCUUCGAGAGUCUCUGUUUUAGGAAACAACAGACGGUUAUUUUCUUCGACAACCUUGUACGGAGAACAGUUCCUGAACCUCCAUGUGUACCCCAAGUUACUGGCUUGACUACAAGUCCUCUCGACUAAAGCGAAGUCCUUUACUAUCACGUCUGCUACUGGUGUCUAAAGAAUUCAAGUGACUAUACAAAGAGAAGGAGGUGUUGCCGGGUUAAGACUUCAAAACGGACUUAUGGCAUCGCUUACUUUACCAUAGGUGACCUCCUGUGGAAAUGGCAACCUACGAAUACGACAGUUCUUUAUUCUAAUUCCUCUAAGUUGAAGUCUGUUCAUAUGCACUGUCAAUGUUCCAGGGAAGAUCAAAAAAGAGGACGCUACUUGAUCUUAUACACAUAGACGCUCGAACACAAAAGUGAUCAAAUGUAAACGGUGGAGGUAGAUUUCCGAAGUUUGUUAACGUAUGAGAAGCAGAUCUUAUACAAUGACACCUUCCUUUGUCAAAUCCCCUAAAUCAUCGCUCAACGGGCUUAAACCUCUUUGAAUUAUAAGCACCUAACACGUCGGUUAGGUUAUAUUUAUAAGCAAGUUGUUUCAAGUUCCACGAUUUUUAACUUCCGACCAAAUGUGUGGAGUUAGACGUACGAGGAAUAGAAUGAAGGCAUACCUAGCCUGACCUUGACUUAAGACUGUGUCAACCACGAAGCUGUUGGUCUACGUUGAAGUUAGAAAGAGGUAAAUAACGAAGAGAAAGUCUACAACUCUGAUAAUCCAAAGUACCUGUGUAGGAACUCACGCAUCUUGCACUUAAAGACUAAGAGUUCGUCGGUUUUAAUAAGUUGGCCGACUGUCUCUAUUCGGACCUCUAGUUAGAGCCACUAGAGUUCCUCCGUUUAAAACGGAACACGAAUAAAGUCGUACGGGGGUUGGACGCUAAAAAGUUUGAUUUCGAGUAAAGGUCCUUAAGGUACCAUGGUUCUCACGUAAAGACCCUUAGUUAUCUGGCACUACAGACAGAGAAGGUCUUGCAACUUGAUCAACCAGACAAGCUGAAAUGACCGAGGAAACGCCUCGAUCCGAAGAACUUUAAAAAUGAACUUCCACGUGGUCACAAUUCUUUUAACCCUUAUUAGCUGUUCCCUAACCUGUCUUUACAGGAUUUUUUAGAGGACUUCGACUCUUCUCGUAGUUUCCUACGUCUUUAUAACUAAGAACUCCGAACAAAGGGGGUGAUCUUUUUCCACGUCCGAUUCAAAAAGAUAACUUCCCUUUUAUAAAUGUAAAGAAGCAGACAUGUCAAUGAAUGUAAUUUCAUCCAAGUCAAAAACAUUCUUAGACAUCUUCUUAACGUAUAUAAGUUAAACCUUUAUCGCCACGGUCGAAGUCUGAACCGUACAGUGAAUAUAAAGAAGAUGGUAAAACCCAGUAUAGACCUUAAAUCACGAUAAGUUCAAGUCAAACGGAAAUCAACUGAAACUCUAUUGUACGUUCCCUCAUAAGACUCGUACUUGCACAAACAUUUUCUACUUGUAUAACUGACUAACAGAUAGAAUAUAAUGAAGUCAAGUCUUAAUACUGAUGCCAAAACCAGAACGCGCCCAGUUGAAGCGGUGGGAUCACAAAAUAGAGAUGAGACAAAGGUACCUCUCCUAGUUUAGGUUGGAGACUUCCUUGGUCAGUUCUGGUAACCUUCCUUGCCAUAGUUCGAACACAACCCUUGGAGAUUGUUGAGAUGAUGAGAGCAAACCACGCUAGAACGUUCUGUGUUCGAGACUUCAAAUCCCAUAUGUCCGUAUUCAAUAGGGGUAUUAAACAACAACUUCAAUGGCGCACGAGGACACCUUUUGUCACAACGGAGUCCUCAACGAAUGAACAACACAGUUUCAAGUCUUUCUUUUACAAACCGUCAAGUAUAACUAGACGCUUUUGCAGAAUAUAAAUCAUAGUCUCCCACAUGAAAUGAUCCAGCACGAGCAAGACAAAACUUGACAACGGCGGUAAACUCUUACGUCUUUAAACGUGGACUGCGUGGUGAUAAAGAAAAAAACUGGCGAAACCCAGCAUGAUCUUCAAGAAGUCAGAGAAGUCAGCCCACAGUAAACAGUUCAAGUCAAACAAAUGUAACUGAGACGCCAUUACACGCUUUCCUCCUGCUAGGCAAAUUGGGCUCUAUAAAAAAAUGGAUUGGAUAAACUGGACUGAUAAAAACGU